GUAGGUGGCAAGCGUUGUCCGGAAUUAUUGGGCGUAAAGCGCGCGCAGGCGGUUCUUUAAGUCUGAUGUGAAAGCCCACGGCUCAACCGUGGAGGGUCAUUGGAAACUGGAGAACUUGAGUACAGAAGAGGAAAGCGGAAUUCCACGUGUAGCGGUGAAAUGCGUAGAGAUGUGGAGGAACACCAGUGGCGAAGGCGGCUUUCUGGUCUGUAACUGACGCUGAGGCGCGAAAGCGUGGGGAGCAAACAGGAUUAGAUACCCUGGUAGUCCACGCCGUAAACGAUGAGUGCUAAGUGUUAGGGGGUUUCCGCCCCCCUUAGUGCUGCAGCUAACGCAUUAAGCACUCCGCCUGGGAUACGGCCGCAAGGCCG
rnacentral:rRNA from 1 species